rnacentral:lncRNA from 12 species
GUCCUUGUGCACCUCAGAAUAUUGAAGUGCAGUACAGCCUGUCUAUUGGCCAGCUGUCUUGGGACAGAAGUACAGGUGCUUCCAUGUACACGGCGCAGGCUGCCACUGAUCUGGGAUCAGUGCUGUCCUGCUCCACCAGUGACACCUCCUGUGCCCUCUAUAAUGUGUCCUGCAGUCAGACAUAUGACAUCACUGUGACAGCACACAACAAUGUCUGCCGAGGAGCUGCUGUGUCUGCAUCAACUACUCUAAACACAGAACCCUGCCCACCCCAGAACGUGCAAACCCAUCUGAAUUGUGCAAGUGAUGUAGGGACCAUGUCUUGGGAGGAGAGUUUGGGGGCAGUGGCAUAUGUGGCUUUCCUGGAGGGUCGCAAUGGACACAGCCUGUCCUGCUCCACAACUAGCUCCAGCUGCAGUGUGACGGGGUUGAUCUGUGGAACGCUUUACAGCACUCAAGUACGCGCCAUUGGAGAAACUUACAACAGCACAGACAGCGAAACAGUUCUCUUCACAUCAGGUUAGGCAUCUAAGAAAUGACAAAUUAGGAACCAUUUACAUUCUUUGGCAUGACAACAGGAAUUUGUUGCUCUCAUGUUUAAAUAACAGAGAAGUUGUUCGUCACUGCUGUGUCUUUGUGUCUAGCCCCCUGUCUACCAGAUUCCAGUUCAGUCACUGUUGACAUGAACUGUGAGAAUGCCACGGCAUUGUUCAGGUGGGCCUGGAGUGGCGGAGCUGCAUCCUAUGAGCUCACUGCUAUCAGUGACAAUGGCUACAUAGCCUCCUGCAUUUCCCAAGAGAAUUUCUGUAAUAUCAGCGAACUAGCCUGCGGACAGACUUACACAGUCAGGCUCACAGCAAUCAGUGAUGAAUGUCAGGUUACUCAGGAGACGGGAGUGACCUUCCAAACACGCCCCUGUGCUCCAUUGCAUGUGAACGUGGAUCUUCAGUGCAAUCCUAGCACAGCUGUAGUGACUUGGGAAGAAAGGGACUAUGUGCUAUACUAUCUUGUUAGUGCCACCCUCAGCACAGGAGAAGCAGAUAAAGUUUGUAACUCUACAACUGACAGCUGUGAAAUGAGUGGGUUGCAGUGUGGAGUGGAGUACGCCUUUACCGUCACUGCCUACAGUAGGCACUGCCAUAGUGACGCCAGCAGCACUGUACACAUUACAACAGAACCUUGUCAACCAAGUCAACCGGCAGUUAUAGGAUCAUGUGAUAACAACACAGUUCUCUUGAACUGGAGUCACAGCAGAGGUGCAUCAAGUUACACAGUGCAUAUAACAAGCAACCUAGGAUUCGCAGACUCCUUCCAGACAUCUGAAUCUACGCUAACAGUGGAGCUUCUCUGCGGACAGACCUACACCUUCACAACACUGGGGGAAAAUGAUGUCUGUGACAGCAUACCAAGCAAUCCUGGACAUUUUACGACUGGUACGACCCAACACUCAUAAAAGCUGUAGUGAAAGGCCAAACUCACAAGUGAUAAAGUUGCUAAAGAAAAGACUUUCAGGUGUUUAUACCACAUUUGUAUCAAUCACUGAUUUUUUUCUGUAGCCCCAUGUGUGCCAUACCACAUUGAGACCUAUGCAGAGUGUGAAAAUAACCUUGGAGCUGUCAGCUGGGCUGGCAGUGAUGGCGCAGAUUUUUACACCGCCAUUGCUGUAGGACAGGAUGGCCACACGCACGUCUGCCUAACAAAUACAACUUUCUGUGUCUGGGAGGAACUGCACUGUGGAGAAAUUUACUUUGUCCAAGUCACUGCCAAUGCCCAAAUCUGCAACAGUGGGUCCAGUGAUGGCACAGUCAUACACAUGGGUGAGUGUCUAAGAAAAAUUAAGGUAGAGUUAUAUGUAAGACAACAAUACUUGAAACUACUUUGCAGUUCUAUAGUUGUAAAGUGACUAUAUGCUUACAAAAGUGUUUUUUGGUAAUCUGUCAAAUGGCUGAUCGAGAUUGCCUGUAUUGUGUACAGCUCCAUGUGUCCCUCAAGAACUGGUGUCCUCUUUCGACUGUGACAUGAGAGUGGCUUCCCUCACCUGGGAAGCAAGUGAAAAUGCUGAGAUGUACCUGGUGUCUGCAGAAUCUGAUAGCGGUCACCGGGUGGAACUCUCAACAAAUGCCACAAGUGCACAAUUCUCUGAGUUCAACUGUGGUCAGCCGUACUAUCUGACUGUGCAAGCUGUGGGAAAUGUAUGUAGAAGCCACCCCAGUAAUGCUUCAGUAUUGCAGACAGGUUAGGACCCUCUCUCUAAAACACAAAGAUAUGAUGUCAAAAGAAGUGCAUAACUCAAAAGGACUUUCAAAAGGACAGCACAGGCUUGGCAUAACACUGUCCCACUUGUUGAAUGACUUGGAUUAUGUAAUUCUGUCUUCUUGCAGAGCCCUGUACUCCAGCAGCUGUCGUUGGCUUUAUGGACUGCAUCUCCAACAUUGCUACUGUAUCCUGGGUGUUAGCUGAAGGUGCAGAAUACUACACAGCGACAGUUCAUGGCCCAGAUGGGCCUUCGGAAACAUGCAUGUCCUCAUCAUCGAGCUGUGGCAUGCCCAAACUGUCCUGCGGUGAAACAUACAAUGUUAGCGUGAUUGCCUCCAGUCGCAAGUGUAACUCAACACCCAGUGCGCUGAGCUCUCUUAACUCAGGUAAGGCAAGCAAACAAACGACAGCAUAAAUAUAAGACACAAAUACACAUGUCUCAGCACAGGUACAGGUAUAACACUAAAGCACUUAAGCC